rnacentral:lncRNA from 1 species
AAAUAAAUCGUACAUACACAUUCUUGUGUUCAUGUCAGCAAAUGCUCAUCCAUUCCGUUAUUACUUUUAGGGAGAAAUCUUUCUGUGUUUGUUACGUGGCAAGGGUUAAUUCGGAACACACAGAGGGAGAGAGAUGACAUAUGGAAUCACUCACUCUCACCACAGAUGCAUACAGGUUUAAGAGACAGAAAAGGGGAGGAGAAGACUGAGAGAAUUCAAAGACUGCUGCUGUAGAGCAGUGGAACGAAUGAAGUGACCAAAACAGCUGCAGUGAAAUAAAACGGGAAAACAAGACA